rnacentral:rRNA from 1 species
CAAUAGCGUAUAUUAAAGUUGUUGCAGUUAAAAAGCUCGUAGUUGGAUUUCUGGUUGAAGCGACCGGUCGGGCGUUGAUUCGUCUGCACUGGAGUCGGUUUUGGCCAUCCUCUAGGAAAGUGCGUCUGGUAUUAAGUUAUCGGGCGUAUGAUCCUGGUCUUUUACUGUGAAAAAAUUAGAGUGUUUAAAGCAGGCCUUCGCCUUGAAUACAUUAGCAUGGAAUAAUAAGAUAGGACUUUGGUCUAUUUUGUUGGUUUGCAGACCGAAGUAAUGAUUAAUAGGGAUAGUUGGGGGUAUAUAUAUUCCGAUGUCAGAGGUGAAAUUCUUAGAUUUUCGGAAGAUAAACUUAUGCGAAAGCAUUUACCAAGGAUGUUUUCAUUAA